AGUGAACGCUGGCGGUAGGCCUAACACAUGCAAGUCGAACGGACGCACAGUAAGAUCUUGCUCUUACCGGUGGCGGGUGGCGGACGGGCGAGGAAUACAUCGGAUACCUAUAUUUCUUGGGGGAUAACGUAGGGCAACUUCCGAUAAUACCUAAUAUGUCCUACGGGUUGAUGCAGGGGAGCUUCGGACCUUGCCUGAUUCUAUGAGCUGAAGGCGGGUUAGCUAGUUGGGGUGGUAAAGGCCCACCAAGGCGACGAUCCGUAGCUGGUCUGAGAGGAUGAUCAGCCACACUGGAACUGAGACACGGUCCAGACUCCUACGGGAGGCAGCAGUGGGGAAUAUUGGACAAAGGGCGCAAGCCUGAUCCAGCCAUACCGCGUGAGUGAAGAAGGCCUUCGGGUUGUAAAGCCCUUUUGUUGGGAAAGAAAAGAAGCGGGAUAAUACCCCGCUGUUCUGACGGUACCCAAAGAAUAAGCACCGGCUAACUUCGUG
rnacentral:rRNA from 1 species